rnacentral:rRNA from 1 species
UACGGGGGGAGCAAGCGUUGUUCGGAUUUACUGGGCGUAAAGGGCGCGUAGGCGGCCACCGCAAGUCGAUUGUGAAAUCUCCGGGCUUAACCCGGAAAGGUCAACCGAUACUGCGGGGCUAGAGUGCAGAAGGGGCAACUGGAAUUCUCGGUGUAGCGGUGAAAUGCGUAGAUAUCAGGAAGAACACCCGUGGCGAAGGCGGCUCUCUGGGACGGUACUGACGCUGAGACGCGAAAGCGUGGGGAGCGAACAGG